rnacentral:rRNA from 1 species
GAUGAACGCUGGCGGCGUGCCUAAUACAUGCAAGUCGAGCGAACAGAUGAGGCUCUUGCUCCUCUGCCGUUAGCGGCGGGCGGGUGAGUAACACGUGGAUAACCUACCUAUAAGACUGGGAUAACUUAGGGAAACCGGAGCUCAUAUCCGAUCUUAUAUUGAACCGCAUGGUUCAAUAGUCAAAGACGGUUUUGCUGUCACUUAUACGUGGAUCCUCGCCGCAGUAGCUAGUUGGUACGGUAACGGCUUACCAAGACAACGAUGCGUAGCCGACCUGUGAGGGGGAGAGGCCACACUGGAACAGAGACACGGGCCACAGUCCUACGGGAGGCGGAGGUGGGGAAACUUCCGCAAUGGGCGAAAGCCUGACGGAGCAACGCCGCGUGAGUGAGGAAGGGCUUCUGAUCGUAAAACUCUGUUAUUAGGGAAGAACAAAUGUGUAAGUAACUAUGCACGUCUUGACGGUACCUAAUCAGAAAGCCACGGCUAACUACGUG